rnacentral:lncRNA from 1 species
GUUUUCAUACUUCUGGAAAGCAGAACUCCUCUUCUUCUUUUGGCUAACAAAUUUGCAACCAUUUUCACAAACAAAAAAUUUCAAUUACUUAUGGAUGCAACAAAGACAUUCAUUGAGCGUCCCUUUCAUGUAGAGCAGAUUUGCAGGCUAGAAUCCAAAAACCUCAGUCUGCAUACAUGUGGUUGGAAUCAAUUUCAAAAUUCAAAUUCUUCCUCUCUUCUCUUCAAUAUCAUAACUCACUUUCUUUAUCAUGGGUUUCAAAUCUUCUCUCAUCAGAUCUCUCAUCCUUCACCACCUUCCCUGCCGUCACUUUCUUUUUUCAUUAUCGAAGAACAUCAAAAGGCAUCCUCCGGUGGCUUCUUCAGCGUCUUCAAAUGGAAAGGUCCCCAAUUUUCUUCAAU